rnacentral:lncRNA from 1 species
CUUCUCCAAGUCUCUGUUCUUCUUCUGAUAACUGGCUUCAACUCUCUGCAAUCUCAAACACUCUCGGUGCUCUGCAUUCAUCAAAUUCUCCAUCUCUUCAUAAGAUCUCUUCUUGCUCCUCACUCCACCAACAUCUACACUCUGGACGUCUCUGAGUUGAUGCGUCAGGUUCAACCUAUCAGCUUUGGCUUGGUACAACUC